rnacentral:rRNA from 1 species
UAUCUCUGUAGAGUCUGCAUAUCAAUAAGCGGAGGAAAAGAAACUAACUAGGAUUCCCUAGUAACGGCGAGUGAAGCGGGAAGAGCUCAAAUUUGAAAUCUUCAAGGUUUCCCUUGACGAAUUGUAGUUUAAUAGAAGUGUUUUCUGUUAGAGAGUUUGGUAAAAGUUCUUUGGAAUAGGACAUCAUAGAGGGUGAGAAUCCCGUAUUUGAUCACUUUCUACUAGCUGUUGUGAUACACUUUCAACGAGUCAGGAUUGUUUGGGAAUGCAGUCCAAAAUGGGUGGUAAAUUUCAUCUAAAGCUAAAUAUUGGCGAGAGACCGAUAGCGAACAAGUACCGUGAGGGAAAGAUGAAAAGAACUUUGAAAAGAGAGUUAAACAGUACGUGAAAUUGUCAAAAGGGAAGCGUUUGACACCAGUGUUGUUUUUCUCGAAAAUCAAUUGCGAAUGGCGGGAUUCUAAGUUUCAUGACCUUAAAAGCUUGUUUCUUUCUUUUCCUGUCUUUCUUAAUGCACUUUUCGGUUAACAAGUCAACAUCAAUUUCUUUUGUUGUAAAAGGUUAAGAGGAAGGUGGCUUUACUUUCGGGUAAAGUGCUUAUAGCCUUUUAACUCUGCAAUCGGAGAGAUUGAGGUCUGCAGCGUAGAUCCUUCGGGGCUAGAUACGUUUGUGCUAAGUUAUGGCUUUUCAUAGACAACUUGUUGACUAUGUUUAGUCUUGUAGCUUACUCGCAGAUGCUAUUUUACCUACGCUUAGGAUGUUGAUGUGAUACUGCGAGCA